GAUGAAAUAUGAAGUUUUAUUAAAAGAAAAGGGUGAAAAGAACAAAGUUUUGUCCAUCUUUGUUCAUCAUAGCUGAAAGUUAGAGAAGAGAAAAGAGAGGAGAAAGCUCUUGAGUAUUUGGUCAUUAGGAGGAGGAAAAUUGAAGGCGGUUCGUGUGUGGAUCUCGUCAGCAUAUCGUCGCAAACAGGAGUGUAACUAACACCCUCUUUCUUAGUCUGGAUCGGCAAAAGUCGAAAAGCCGAAAUAUCGAAAACC